rnacentral:sRNA from 1 species
GGAGAGAAACACUAUGAAUCUAAUGAAUUUGGAAAAUUUAGCAAGAAAUUAAACUUUACCCAACAUCAAAGAAUGUACACAGGAGAAAAACCUGAUGAGUGUAAAGAAAAUUAGAAAGCCCUGAAGAAGUUAUACCAUACUCAAAAUGAGAGAACUCAAGCAGGAGAGAAAAUCUAUGAUUGUAAGAAAUGUGGGAAAUUCUUUCAUGAAAAAGCAUGCCUUACUCAACAUCAGAGAACCCACACAACAGGAAAACCCAGCAAGUGUAAUGAUAGUGAAAGAGUCUCAAAGAAGGAAUCUUGCCUCACUCCCAGUCAGAGAAUUAAAACAAGAUUAAAACAAGAGAGAAAAACUGUAAAGGUAAUAAAUGUGAGAAACCUUUCUUUGAGAAGUUGAAACACACUCAACAUCAGAGAAGGCACUUGGGGAAAAAAAAUAAUGGGUGUAAUGAAAGUGGGGUUGCCUCAAGUAGGAAGUCACAACUUACACAAAGCCAGAGAGCUCACAAAAAAGAGAAGACCUAUGACUGUAAUAAAUGUGGAGAAAGCUUCCAUAAGAAAACAGAUCUCAGACAGCAUCAGAGCACACACACAGGGAAAAAAAACCCUAUGAAUGUAAUGAAUGUGAAAAAUCCUUCGUUGUGAAGUCCAACUACACUGAACAUCAGAGAACUCACACAGGAGAAAAACCAUAUGAAUGUAAUGAAUGUGGAAAGUCCUUCUGCCAGAAAUCAGCCCUCACAGUACAUCGGAGAACUCACACGGGAGAGAAACCAUAUAAACGUAAUGAAUGUGGGAAAACCUUCUGUGUGAAAUCAAACCUUACUCAACAUCGAAGGACUCACACACUGUGAGAAACCCUAUAAAUGUAAUGAGUGCUGGAGAUCUUACUGUGUGAAAUCCAACCUUGUCGUGCAUCAGAGAACUCAUACAGGAGAAAAACCCUACAGAUGUCCUGAGUGUGGGAAAACCUUCUAUGAAAAGUCAGCCCUCACAAAACAUGAGCGAAUUCACACAGGGGAAAAACUCUAUGGAUGUAAUGAAUGUAGAAAAACCUUCAGCCAGAGGUCAGCCCUCACCAAACAUCAAAGGAAAACACACAAGAAGAAAACUCCCAUCAACACCCUCCAUGUGCAGAAA